AUAAAUAUUUAACUUUGAAACUGCGAAUGGCUCAUUAUAUCAGUAAUAGUUUAUUUGAUGAAAAGUACUACUUGGAUAACCGUAGUAAUUCUAGAGCUAAUACAUGAUAAAAUCCUCGACUUUGAAGAGGUGUAUUUAUUAGAAUGAAACCAAUAGACUUCGGUCUGUUUGUGAGUAAUAAUAACUAAUCGUAUCGCAUGCUUAGGUAGCGAUAUGUCUUUCAUAGUUUCUGCCCUAUCAGCUUUGGAUGGUAUUU
rnacentral:rRNA from 1 species